GCUGACUUAGGGCAGUGGCAGUAGGGUGGCUGUCAGAGGCUAGGGUUUUUUUGUUUUUUUGAAAAAGUUUAGGUUUUGGGCUUGGUUUGGGUAUUGGGUCUGUUGGUAAUUUUGGGCUGUAAAUGGACUGUUUAUUUUUAUUUGGUUUGGUUUCUAUUUUGAGCCCGGGUAAAAUUGGGAUACUACAAUUAUCUUAAUAUUAAUUAUCCUAAUAUAAUUAAAAUAGAGUUUGACAAAAUAAAAUCUCUUUUUUUUUUUGCAUUUCAACCCUUGUGUCCUCCAUGCUUGCACUUUUGGCACCAACUUUCUUUG
rnacentral:lncRNA from 1 species